AUCAUUUCAAACACAGUUUGUAGAGUAAAAGACAAUACAUUUUGGUCAAACAGGCAAGUCAUACUUAAAGAUGAUCAUAUAAAUGAAAAUAUAAUCAUUUUACAGGGUUCACCUUCCAGAGGCAGCCAAUCUGGUGGACAGGGUGGAUGUGAUUGCUCUGGUGCAAGUUCUAGUGGAUCAUCUUCCUCACUCAGAAGUAAUUCCUCUUCAAAUGACACAUCUUAUUCUGGAGGAAGCCGUUACAGUAGCUAUGAUUCCACCUCGCCAUCUUACAACCGUCAGAAUGAACGGGAGUCGUAUUCUUCUGGAGCUAGUCAAUAUGGUGGACAAGGAUCACCAUCUUAUGGAAGCAGCCAUUAUGGUGGACAAGGUUCACCUUACUCGGGAGGCAGCCAGUAUGGAGGACAGGGUCCAUCUUCCUCAGGUGGCAGCCAGUAUGGAGGACAGGUGAGAACUGGUUUUUCCUACAUAUGGGUUGUUGUUCAGUUGUUCAUCUUUUCCUUCUUUUCUGUGAAAAACAAGGUCCUUUGUAAAGGCUUGGCUUAAAGCAAAGCACUGUUCAUGCAGAACGGGUGAAUGUGACACCUUCUGUGUCAGCCCAUGCAGGAAAAUGAAACACACAAAUCUGCCCUGAGCAGUGAGUCACUUGCAGAUGGGCCAUGCACAGUUGCCUGAAGCUGCCUUUAAUUUAAACUUUC
rnacentral:lncRNA from 1 species